rnacentral:snoRNA from 1 species
UAGUGCUAUGCGCUCAGGGAUCAUUUCUAUAGUUCGUUAUUAGAGAAGCUUCUCUGAUUGUGUGGAGUACCAGGAAGCCCAGGCGGAAGCACAGUGUUUCUCCCUGGGCCUGGAGCUGGCUCUUGGUGUAACUGCCACUUGUCAUUGAUGAUUGUUCUUACUUUUUCCUUGGAGGGAGUAGGAGGGAAGGAACACAGUCAGUCAGC